rnacentral:rRNA from 1 species
UUAAAGAGUUCUAUAACUCCCAAACCCAUGUGAACAUACCUAACGUUGCCUCGGCAGGUCGCACCUACCUUGUAGCACCCUACCCUGUAGGGCCUACCCGGGAGGUGCGGGUAAGCCUGCCGGCGGCCCACCAAACUCUGUUUGAUAUUGAAUUCUGAACCUAUAACUAAAUAAGUUAAAACUUUCAACAACGGAUCUCUUGGUUCUGGCAUCGAUGAAGAACGCAGCGAAAUGCGAUAAGUAAUGUGAAUUGCAGAAUUCAGUGAAUCAUCGAAUCUUUGAACGCAUAUUGCGCCCAUUAGUAUUCUAGUGGGCAGGACCGUUCGAGCGUCAUUUCAACCCUUAAGCCUUCGUUGCUUAGUGUUGGGAGCCUACGGCAACGUAGCUCCUCAAAGUUAGUGGCGGAGUUGGUUCACACUCUAGACGUAGUAAUUUUUUAUCUCGCCUAUUAGUUGGACUAAUCCCCUGCCGUAAAACCCCCAAUUUAUCAAGGUUGACCUCGAAUCGGUUCAGACAAACUCGCUAAAUUGAAGCAUCUUAGUCAGCGAAGGAAAAGAAACCAACAGGGAUUGCCCUAGUAACGGCGAGUGAAGCGGCAACAGCUCAAAUUUGAAAUCUGGCC